UAACCCUCCCUGUUCUCAAUAACUGAAGCACUGGCGACUUAGGGUUGCCGACUGCCGACUUAGGGUUGACGACUAACGAAAAGUCAUUUUCCUUAUCUCCUUGUUCUCAGCGACUAGCGACUUAGGGUUGGCGAGUGGCGGCUUACGGUUGGUGACUGGUAAGAGAAGAGAUCGUGUGGAGAAAAAUCUAGGGUUUCUUCGAAAUUGUAGAACUACAGUGAGGAUUAUCACUACCUGCGGAUUUAGUUAACCGAGAAACUAUGUCAGAACCCUGGAGAAGUGAAGUUAAAAGUGAUGAAACAAAUAGGAAAAGAAUGUCAGAUUGACUCUUACUCUUGAAACCUUGAUACACUAUGAUAGGAUAGAUGAGUGCAAAGAGUGAUGUUUAUAGCUUUGGUCUUAUCCUGCUGGAACUCUUAACUGGGCGGAAGUUUGUUGAUCAUUCUCUGUCGUGUGAGCAGCAGAGCCUUGUGAAUGGGCAACUCCAAAACCCAGUGAAGAUAAGGUGAAGCAAUUCUUUGACGCAGAGUUAAAUGGAGAAUAGCCUCCUAAGGCAAUUGCAAAGGUACUGAAGAUGGUAACUUUGACUGAAAAUAAUACAUCAAAUUCUAGUUUUCUUGGUGGAAGAGCAAAGGAUUGUGAAGAAGGUUUUGAAGAUCUAGAAAGCAAAGGAAAGUCAGGCUUCAAGGGUGCUAGAAAGCGGGAGGGUGAAAGCUAAAUUUUUUGGAUUUUAAGAAAUGAAUGAGAAACUGGAAAAGCUUCUUUCUUUGUAUUGAAUUCCCUAUUUUUAUUGGGUUUGAAUUGACAAAAUUAUUUAUACAUAUGCAUUGUAAUUUUACAA